GUUGUCUUGGCCGAGUGGUUAAGGCCAUAGACUAGAAUUCUUUUCGGAUCUUCCCGCGCAGGUUCGAAUCCUGCCGACAUCG
rnacentral:tRNA from 1 species